GAAGAAUCCACUAGAAAGACCAGGUGUUUUUCCCCCUUCUUAGAUCCAGUUGCUCAAGAUUCUUCUCUUUGCCAAGAGGAAAAUUCAGAAGAAGAUAAAAUGGUUGCAGUUCUUUCAAAUACUGAAUCAUGUGUAAGUUUCCUUUCCCUGGUUUUCAUUCUUAAGUGAAUACUGAACUGGACUCUUUAGUGGUAAAGAUAAUUCAGGCCAAAAAAAAAAAAAAAAUUGAAACAAGGAACUUAAAGUUUAUUUUUCACAUUUUAUUUGAGUUCACAGAUUGUGUUACAAGUUGGAAUAAACAAAAACAUUUGGGACUGGGAUUAUGGCUCAAUGGUAGAGCGCUCACCUAGCAUGUGCAAGGCCCUGAGCCAUAUAAAAAUAAAUAAAUACAUAAUUAAAAAAAGGUAUUGUGUCUAACUACAACUAAAAAAACAAAUAUUUCAAAACAAAAACAUUUACUAACAUUCAACAGUUAAUCCUGUAGAAAAUUAGUCAGGUGGAAAUAGAGCUGUAUUUCCUUUAUAUGAUCAAGAGGAUCUCCAGCUGAGUAGUGUUGGAAUCUUCACAAUAUCAAUAAAAGAUAAGGAAUUGCUGCUGAGUGCAGUGGUACAUCCUGUAAUCCCAGCUACUCAUGAAGCUGAGGCAGGAGGAUCACAAAUUCAAGGUUAGCCUUGACAACUUAUCAAGAUGCUGUCUCAAAAACUAAUUCUCAAAAACUAAUUCAGGAGUCUUAAGGUAGGAGGAUCACAAGUUCAAAACCAACCUUAGCAACUUAGGGAGAUCUUGUCUCAAAAUUAAAAAAAAAAAAGCUGGGGAUGUUGCUUAGCAUGCACAAAACACUGGAUUCAGUCCCUAUUACCAAAAAGAAAAGACAUCAUUGCCAUUAACCAGUGUUUUCUGAACACUCUAGCCAAUGCAGCAAGCAUUGGUAUUAAAGAGGCAAAUGUGUAUUCGCAGACAUUGUCUAUUUUCAAAACCUCAACAAAAGCAACUGAAAAAGUACUGAAACUUGUAGUAAUAUCUGGGAAAAUAGUUGGUUACAAAUCAAUAAGUUUCCUAUAAAGCAGUAAUCACCAGUUAGGGGAAAAAAUACCUUUUUUUUAGUACUGGGUAUUGAACCCAGAGGGGCUUAACCACUGAGCCACAUCCCCAGUCCUUUUUAUUUUAAAACAGUCUUGCUAAGUUGCUUAGGGCCUUGCUAAGUUACUGAGGCUGGCUUUGAACUUGUGAUCUUCAUGCCUCAGUCUUCCGAGUCAGACCACCAUACUGAGUGGUGGGGGAUUUUAUUCACAAGAAUGAAUUAACAGUGCUGUAGCAGGCCAGUGAUUACUCCAAAAACUAUGUCUUUUUUCCAAUUCCUGCAACUUGUGAAUGUUUCUUCCUUUGGAGGAAGAUCUUUGCAGGUGUGAUUAAAUUAAGGGUUUUAAAAUGUCUAUCCUUGAUUAUAUGAGUAGGCUCUGAAUGCAUUGUAAGUUCCCCCAAUAGAGUUUGAGAGAGAUUGAGUGUACUAGGAAGAGAUGAUGAUAUAAAAGAGGGAGGUGAUUUCAAUGGAUAGUGCCACAAGCCAAGGAAUGCUGACAUCACCAAAAGCUAGAAGAAACAAGGAACAAGUUCUCCCCCCAGAUCCUCUCAAGAGAGUGCAGUUCUACCAACACAGUGAGCUCUGAUUUCUGGCUCCAGCUUUGUGAGAGAAUACAUUUCUGUUGUUCAAAGCAACCAAAGCCAUGGUAAUUGGUUACAUGGUAUUACAUCAGCAGGAAGCUAAUGCAGUAAUAGGCAGACACUCUGUUAUACUGCGUCUCAAAAAGUCAUGCGGAGGAUGCUACAGAAAGUGAAUUUAAAGAGUCAGUCUACUUGUUUAUAAAUGUGGAGCUAUUACAAGUGCAAGUACAGACUGAAUACAGAUUCUGUAAGAGGAUAUAGAAAAUAGUUACUGCAUAUAACUGGAAGUUAAAAUUUGGAAUAUAAUUGCUAAUGAUAUUAUUAUGUAUUUAAUUACUACCUGUAGUUAGCUUAUAUUAAUUCUGCAUAUUUGGGGUUUGGUAAUGUAAAUUAUACCCUUCACUCAUAAUUUUCCUUUUACUCGUAGGAAUCAAUAUGUUAGAAUUAACUUGACCAAUAGAGAAUUCUUAUACAGCAUUGACAACAGAGACUGGAUGGGAGAGGCAGGGUUAUGAAAUACCCUGUUCUUUGUCACUUGUAUUAAUCACAUAAUAGCUACUCCAUAGUUACUUUGAAAUUUUUAGAAACUUGAAUACUGUCAAAAUCAUUUAUUUAUAUGCUAACCACUUCUCUGCAUCCUUAGGGUCUGUCUGGAAAUAAUACAAUGCAAAAUGACUAUGUUUGGUGUUUUAGGAAACCAUAACAUUCAAGGAUGUGACUGUGAAUUUUUCCAGAGGAGAAUGGAAGAAGCUGGAGCCCUCUCAGAAGGAGCUAUAUAAGGACGUGCUACUGGAGAACUUAAGGAACCUAGAAUUUCUGGGUAAUGACAUCCUCUUUAUGAUCUAGCAUCUAAGCUGGGUAUCUUUUUGUCCCCUGUUAUAGAAAGAUAAAUACUGUACUCAUGUAAAUAUUUUAACUUUGUUUUGACUGAGCACUCAGGGAUUAAAAUGACUAAUCCUAAAAAUGGAUCAGAAAACUGUACUUUUCUGCAAAAUUACCUCCAAAAGGUCUUUGCUUCAUUCAGUGGGAAGUGUGCAGCAUUGUUGAGAGCCCCAGGGGUUCCAAACGCUGCACAGAAGGCAGGGCGCCUUCAGAGGGCCAAAGCAGGAGGGUUAGAAGGGCGUCCCCCUGGCUGCGCUCCUGGGCCAUUCUGAACUUUCUCCAGACGCCGAC
rnacentral:lncRNA from 1 species